rnacentral:lncRNA from 13 species
GCCUCCUCCACCCAGUGCUGGAGACGAAAUGUCGCCUUCCAUUUAUUCCCACUGUUUGUAGCAUCUGGGAUGCCACUCCAUCAUCCAGCCAACAUAAUUCUUGCUUCCUUUACUGCUGUAGGCAGCUCUCAAUCCAAAGAGUUAUGCAGCAGAUAAAAGAAGAGGCAGUAAGAGGUCAAAAAUGAGUAAGAGUGAGGGGUUACAAUGUGUUUUUGCUGAGACUGAGAAAGGAAGUAUAAAGAAAAAGAAUUGUGCAAGAAUAAGAGGGCUAUUCAGAUAUGGUGAUGUCAGAUGAAAUGUGGUUGGGUCAACUAUUUGGUUUGGGUAACCAGAGAAGGUAAGAACAUUUUGAGCUUCUAGUAAAUCUCCUUGAGCAGAAGCGUCUGUUCAUGUGUCCCAGGUCUAAAAGAAACUAUGACUGUUUAUGGAAAGAAUUCUUUGUGUACGGGCUGCAGGCAGAUUCUGUUCUUCUGCCUCGAUGAACUGGUGUGUGGUCAGUGAACUCUGUGACAACAGCUUGCAAAGAAAAAACUGCCCAUCUGCCGGAUUUUCACAGCAGGUAACAACAUGCUCUUUCUCCAUAUUGGGGACUAUGCUUCUCACACUGCAUGUGGUCCUGGAAAAACGAAGUUCCCCCAUGACCUUCUCCACCCGCUCUGUGGCCCAUCAUCUGGAACACUGGAGACUAACCAGCAGUCUCCAUCAUCUGGAACACUGGAGACUAACCAGCAGUCUCCAUCAUCUGGAACACUGGCCUUACCUAUGGCAUGCUCUAUGGACACUGGGAGAGAGGAGGUGGCUAUUUUACUCUGGGAUUUCUAGUUGUAGGGAUUGUGUGAGCCUGGGAUUGUUGGGAGCAAUUUCCUCAGCGGUAUGGGAGAAACUGCCUGUAGAACAAAGCCAUUACACAGAGGAAAGCAGAGCCAAGAGGUGGGGAGACAAACACUCAGAAUUCUGAUGGCAUCACUAAAGGCCCUGGAUCCAGCCAUGCCUGAAAGGAGAACACCCCAGUUACAAGAGCCUCAAGAGAGCCCCUUCUAGCUUGAGAAAGUUUCAGCUGGAUUUUUGUCAUUUGACCCAAUGCAAAGGGAAUUACAGAAUUUAAAAAAGCCAAAGGAUUUUAAUAAGAGUAGAUAUAAACACUGUGUUUAGACUACAUUUUUCAAAGGCCCUACAUAGAAAAACACAAACUCUUCGUGUUUCUUUGAAUGUGAUUUUGCUCUGAGAUGGAAACAUGGGUUUUGGCUCUACCUGAGCAAGUUAUCUAUUCAUUUUGUUUCCUCCUCUAUAAUAUAAGAAUAGUAGCAGUGCCUGCCUCUGGUAGGUUAAUACAUUCAGAGCUCUUAGAACAGUGCCCAGCAUAUAAUAAAUGCUCUGUACCACUCUAAUAGUCUGCUUGC